rnacentral:rRNA from 1 species
UACGUAGGGUGCGAGCGUUGUCCGGAAUUAUUGGGCGUAAAGGGCUCGUAGGCGGUUUGUCGCGUCGGGAGUGAAAUCCACUGGCUUAACUGGUGGCUUGCUUUCGAUACGGGCAGACUGGAGGUAUGCAGGGGAGAACGGAAUUCCUGGUGUAGCGGUGAAAUGCGUAGAUAUCGGGAGGAACACCAGUGGCGAAGGCGACUUCCUGGCCUGUUCUUGACGCUGAGGCGCGAAAGCUAGGGGAGCAAACGGG